rnacentral:rRNA from 1 species
CCUACGGGUGGCAGCAGUGAGGAAUAUUGGUCAAUGGACGCAAGCCUGAACCAGCCAUGCCGCGUGCAGGAAGACGGCUCUAUGAGUUGUAAACUGCUUUUGUACGAGGGUAAACGCAGAUACGCGUAUCUGUCUGAAAUUAACGUACGAAUAAGGAUCGGCUAACUCCGUGCCAGCAGCCGCGGUAAGACGGAGGAUUCAAGCGUUAUCCGGAUUUAUUGGGUUUAAAGGGUGCGUAGGCGGUCGGAUAAGUUAGAGGUGAAAUCCCGAGGCUCAACUUCGGAAUUGCCUCUGAUACUGGUCGGCUAGAGAGUAGUUGCGGUAGGCGGAAUGUAUGGUGUAGCGGUGAAAUGCUUAGAGAUCAUACAGAACACCGAUUGCGAAGGCAGCUUACCAAGCUACUUCUGACGUUGAGGCACGAAAGCGUGGGGAGCAAACAGGAUUAGAUACCCUUGUAGUC